AGUGCCGAGUUAAAGGAAGCAUAUUGGUCUUCUUUUACUUCUAAAUCCGCCUUCUAACUAGGUUUCAUAGUAGUUUUUCGUAUGAUCUAAAGUAGACAGUGUAGCCCAUCUCUUUCCACUUCAUAUGCUGCACCUUGACCUGACGUAUUGGCGCAAAGGCAUUAAGCUCACUAGUUAGCGCUCACGGGGUAAGCUGACGACGGAGGUAUACAGGCUGAUAGACUAAAAGUGGUGAGGUAAAACGGGGGUUAUCGAUUAUAGGACAGGCUCCUCUAGGUGGAUUUGGGGUACCGUCAAGUCCCUUGGGUUUUAAGCU
rnacentral:rRNA from 1 species